rnacentral:rRNA from 1 species
CCCGGCUUACCAACCCGAUGCAAACUGCGAAUACCGGAGAAUGUUAUCACGGGAGACACACGGCGGGUGCUAACGUCCGUCGUGAAGAGGGAAACAACCCAGACCGCCAGCUAAGGUCCCAAAGUCAUGGUUAAGUGGGAAACGAUGUGGGAAGGCCCAGACAGCCAGGAUGUUGGCUUAGAAGCAGCCAUCAUUUAAAGAAAGCGUAAUAGCUCACUGGUCGAGUCGGCCUGCGCGGAAGAUGUAACGGGGCUAAACCAUGCACCGAAGCUGCGGCAGCGACACUGUGUGUUGUUGGGUAGGGGAGCGUUCUGUAAGCCUGUGAAGGUGUGUCGUGAGGCAUGCUGGAGGUAUCAGAAGUGCGAAUGCUGACAUAAGUAACGAUAAAGCGGGUGAAAAGCCCGCUCGCCGGAAGACCAAGGGUUCCUGUCCAACGUUAAUCGGGGCAGGGUGAGUCGACCCCUAAGGCGAGGCCGAAAGGCGUAGUCGAUGGGAAACGGGUUAAUAUUCCCGUACUUGGUGUUACUGCGAAGGGGGGACGGAGAAGGCUAUGUUGGCCGGGCGACGGUUGUCCCGGUUUAAGCGUGUAGGUGUGUGU